rnacentral:rRNA from 1 species
AUGUCCUGGUGGAAAUUAUGUGCACCUAAAAAUCAAGGAGGGGUGGGAUUUCGUGAUAUUCACUGUUUUAACUUGACGUUGCUAGCCAAAUAGGCAUAGCGUCUUGUGGAUAAUCCUAAUUCAUUGUGUGCUUCUAUCCUAAGGGCAAAAUAUUACCUCGAUGGUUAUUUCUUAAAUGCUAAGCUCAGGAAAGGAUCUUCCUUUACAUGGCAAAGUAUCAUGGCAGGCGCAAAUACUCUGAAACGUGGUUACAUUUGGCGACUGGAGAAUCUUACAUUCUUAAGAAGUUGA